rnacentral:rRNA from 1 species
GGAGUAUGGACCGUGUCUCAGUUCCAUUGUGGCCGUUCAUCCUCUCAGACCGGCUACCGAUCGUCGGCUUGGUGCGCUUUUAUCACACCAACUACCUAAUCGGACGCAGGCUCCUCGCAAAGCGAUAAAUCUUUAGUAACAAAGUCAUGCGACUCCACUACAACAUCCGGUAUUAGCGUCCCUUUCGGGACGUUGUCCCCGACUUUGCGGCAGAUUACCUGCGCUUUACUCACCCGUUCGCCACUAGCACCGAAGUGCCCGUUCGACUUGCAUGUGUUAAGCACGCCGCCAGCGUUCGUCCUCGAGCCACUGAUCAAACUACU